UUGCAUAUCAAAAAGCGGAGGAAAAGAAACCAACAGGGAUUGCCUCAGUAACGGCGAGUGAAGCGGCAAAAGCUCAAAUUUGAAAUCUAGCGCCUUCGGUGCUCGAGUUGUAAUUUGAAGAUGGCGACUUUGGGGAUGGCCUUUAUCUAUGUUCCUUGGAACAGGACGUCACAGAGGGUGAGAAUCCCGUCUGAUGAGGUGCUCCAUCCCUUUGUAAAGCGCUUUCGAAGAGUCGAGUUGUUUGGGAAUGCAGCUCUAAGUGGGUGGUAAAUUCCAUCUAAAGCUAAAUAUUGGCGAGAGACCGAUAGCGAACAAGUACAGUGAUGGAAAGAUGAAAAGAACUUUGAAAAGAGAGUGAAAAAGUACGUGAAAUUGUUGAAAGGGAAGGGUAUUAGAUCAGACUUGGUGUUUGCUGUGAUUAUCGUCUCUCUUGUAGGGCGUGCACUCGCGCAGCACUGGGCCAGCAUCGAUUGGGGUGGCGGGAUAAAAGCGUACGAAUGUGGCACUGCCCUUGUUGGUGGUGUGUUUAUAGCGUGCGUGAUAUACCGCCCAGCUCGAUCGAGGACUGCGUCUUUAUUGACUAGGAUGCUGGCGUAAUGAUCUAAUAUCGCCCGUCUUGAAACACGGACCCAAA
rnacentral:rRNA from 1 species